AUACUUACCUGGCGCGGGGGAUACCGUGAUCAAGAGGCGGCCUGCCUCGGACGAGGCCUGUACAUUGCACUCCGUAUGGGCUGACUCCUGCGACUACCCCAAAUCGGGGUGGCUCGAGCGCAUAAUUUUUGGUAGUGGGGACAAGCGUUCGCGCUGUCCCUU
rnacentral:snRNA from 1 species